rnacentral:tRNA from 26 species
GGAGAGGUGUCCGAGCGGCUGAAGGAGCAUGAUUGGAAAUCAUGUGUGCGGUUAUCCCGUACCCAGGGUUCAAAUCCCUGUCUCUCCGCCA